rnacentral:rRNA from 1 species
UACGAAGGGUGCAAGCGUUACUCGGAAUUACUGGGCGUAAGGCGUGCGUAGGUGGUUUGUUAAGUCUGAUGUGAAAGCCCUGGGCUCAACCUGGGAACGGCAUUGGAAACUGGCUUACUAGAGUGCGGUAGAGGGGUGUGGAAUUCCCGGUGUAGCAGUGAAAUGCGUAGAUAUCGGGAGGAACAUCUGUGGCGAAGGCGACACCCUGGACCAGCACUGACACUGAGGCACGAAAGCGUGGGGAGCAAACAGG